GUGCUCACUUUGGGUGUAUAUAUACUAAAAUUGGAGUAAUAUGAAGAAAAUUAGCAGGCCCCACACAACGAUGACCCACAUUUGUGAAUAGUUCCACGCUAUU
rnacentral:snRNA from 1 species